UACGUAGGGUGCAAGCGUUAAUCGGAAUUACUGGGCGUAAAGCGUGCGCAGGCGGUUUUGUAAGUCAGAUGUGAAAUCCCCGGGCUUAACCUGGGAACUGCGUUUGAAACUACAAGGCUAGAGUGUGGCAGAGGGGGGUGGAAUUCCACGUGUAGCAGUGAAAUGCGUAGAGAUGUGGAGGAACACCGAUGGCGAAGGCAGCCCCCUGGGUCAAAACUGACGCUCAUGCACGAAAGCGUGGGGAGCAAACAGG
rnacentral:rRNA from 1 species